GAUGAACGCUAGCUACAGGCUUAACACAUGCAAGUCGAGGGGCAGCGGGAUUGAAGCUUGCUUCAAUUGCCGGCGACCGGCGCACGGGUGAGUAACGCGUAUCCAAACCUUCCGUACACUCAGGGAUAGCCUUUCGAAAGAAAGAUUAAUACCUGAUGGUAUCUUAAGCACACAUGUAAUUAAGAUUAAAGGUAUUCCGGUAGACGAUGGGGAUGCGUUCCAUUAGAUAGUAGGCGGGUAACGGCCCACCUAGUCUUCGAUGGAUAGGGGUUCUGAGAGGAAGGUCCCCCANAUUGGAACUGAGACACGGUCCAAACUCCUAC
rnacentral:rRNA from 1 species